rnacentral:rRNA from 1 species
AUUGAACGCUGGCGGCAUGCUUUACACAUGCAAGUCGAACGGUAACAGGCCUUCGGGUGCUGACGAGUGGCGAACGGGUGAGUAAUGCAUCGGAACGUACCCAGAGGUGGGGGAUAACGCAGCGAAAGCUGUGCUAAUACCGCAUGUGAUCUGAGGAUGAAAGCGGGGGACCGAGCAGCAAUGUUUGGCCUCGCGCCUUUGGAGCGGCCGAUGUCGGAUUAGCUAGUUGGUGGGGUAAAGGCCUACCAAGGCGACGAUCCGUAGCUGGUCUGAGAGGACGACCAGCCACACUGGGACUGAGACACGGCCCAGACUCCUACGGGAGGCAGCAGUGGGGAAUUUUGGACAAUGGGCGCAAGCCUGAUCCAGCAAGGCCGCGUGCGGGAAGAAGGCCUUCGGGUUGUAAACCGCUUUUGGCAGGAACGAAACGGUGUCCGCUAAUACCGGGCGCUAAUGACGGUACCUGCAGAAUAAGCACCGGCUAACUACGUG